CGUAAAGAGCUCGUAGGCGGUUUGUCGCGUCUGCUGUGAAAUCCCGAGGCUCAACCUCGGGCGUGCAGUGGGUACGGGCAGACUGGAGUGCGGUAGGGGAGAAUGGAAUUCCUGGUGUAGCGGUGGAAUGCGCAGAUAUCAGGAGGAACACCGAUGGCGAAGGCAGUUCUCUGGGCCGUAACUGACGCUGAGGAGCGAAAGCGUGGGGAGCGAACAGGAUUAGAUACCCUGGUAGUCCACGCCGUAAACGUUGGGCGCUAGAUGUGGGGACCUUUCCACGGUUUCCGUGUCGUAGCUAACGCAUUAAGCGCCCCGCCUGGGGAGUACGGCCGCAAGGCUAAAACUCAAAGGAAUUGACGGGGGCCCGCACAAGCGGCGGAGCAUGCGGAUUAAUUCGAUGCAACGCGAAGAACCUUACCAAGGCUUGACAUGUACGAGAACGCCUCAGAAAUGAGGAACUCUUUGGACACUCGUAUGCAGGUGGUGCAUGGUUGUCGUCAGCUCGUGUCGUGAGAUGUUGGGUUAAGUCCCGCAACGAGCGCAACCCUCGUCGUAUGUUGCCAGCACGUAAUGGUGGGAACUCAUAUGAGACUGCCGGGGUCAACUCGGAGGAAGGUGGGGAUGACGUCAAAUCAUCAUGCCCCUUAUGUCUUGGGCUUCACGCAUGCUACAAUGGCCGGUACAAAGGGCUGCGAUGUCGUAAGGCGGAGCGAAUCCCAAAAAGCCGGUCUCAGUUCGGAUUGAGGUCUGCAACUCGACCUCAUGAAGUCGGAGUCGCUAGUAAUCGCAGAUCAGCAACGCUGCGGUGAAUACGUUCCCGGGCCUUGUACACACCGCCCGUCAAGUCAUGAAAGUCGGUAACACCCGAAGCCAGUGGC
rnacentral:rRNA from 1 species